CACGGGGGGGAGCAAGCGUUGUUCGGAAUCACUGGGCGUAAAGGGCGUGUAGGCGGUUCGGUAAGUGGAAUGUGAAAUGCUCCGGCUCACCCGGAGUACUGCAUCCCAAACUGCCGAGCUUGAGUAUGGGAGAGGAUGAGGGAAUUCCUGGUGUAGCGGUGAAAUGCGUAGAUAUCAGGAGGAACACCGGUGGCGAAGGCGCUCAUCUGGCCCAAUACUGACGCUGAGGCGCGAAAGCUAGGGGAGCAAACAGG
rnacentral:rRNA from 1 species